CGGCACCAGUGUACACCUAUUUGAAGGCAUGCAGCAGUUGCAGAGGUAACUAAAUUGCAACCCUAAUACACUCCUACCCCCAAUCAAAGCCAGUGGCUGUCGGAGAGGCACGACUAAACGCAAGCGUGACUGCUUGGUGUGGUCAGAUUAUUCUCACGACUGAGUUCUAUGGGUGACCAGGUGCACAUUCCCAUAUCCCUCUUAACCUUUCUUCUAAUUCAACACUCUUCUUGAUAACAUAUCUUCAUUUUUCCGUAUGUUCCCCCGCUUAAUUGUUGAAAUCAGGCAAACUCUCAAAUGAGUUGUCGUAACUUGCAUCUAAAUGGAAAAUCUGAAAUUGUUCUAUACCAUUAGUGAUAAUGGCUAAAGUCAUGGAUGAGAAAUUCUGGUACACUUCUAUCACUUGUACAGAAAAUUAAUUUAAAAAGGAAAACUGAAAGUUUAUAACACAUGUACUGCGCAUGUAACUUAGAUAUCAAGAAAUGGCAAUUAGAUGUUUUGAUCAGUUUGCAAUUAUGUAUCCUGCUUACGUUCUUUGUUUCUGCUAGCCACUGCAAUUAUAUGACAGUGACUUGUGUUCGUCUCCAAAAUAGGAAACAAGAAGAAACAUUCAGGUAUGACUUCGUUUUGUUUAGGUUGUAUGUAAUCUGUGUUUUGGUGUGAUUGAAAACUGAAUAUCUCAAUCCCCCCACCCCACUCCACCCCACCCCUCAAAAAAAAAAAAAAUCUUUCUUAUUUAUGUCUGACAACUUAUUGAUGAACUUAAAUAUGAUGUUGCAUGGUGUCGUCGUGGCUGUUACAGUUGCUAAAGCAGUUUGGAAAGCAUUAUUUGUGAGUCCUGCAACGAGUGCUCCUGGUUAGAUAGGACACAGGAGGCGCUGAAGUGGUCUUGUCUUGACUGUGUUUUUGUAGUUUGGUGUUACAUACAACUAGGGGCUGUAAAUUCGGACUGCCCGGCCCGGACCAUGUGUCAGGCUCCUGGAAUGCCCAGGCUCGGGCACAGGCUUCUGGUGAUACUUGGG
rnacentral:lncRNA from 1 species